rnacentral:rRNA from 1 species
UAGUACCGGACGGGUGAGUAACGCGUGAGAAUCUACCUUUAGGACGGGGACAACAACUGGAAACGAUUGCUAAUACCCGAUAUGCCCUUCGGGGUGAAAUGUUUUAUCGCCUAAAGAUGAGCUCGCGUCCGAUUAGCUAGUAGGUAGUGUAAUGGACUACCUAGGCGAUGAUCGGUAGCUGGUUUGAGAGGACAAUCAGCCACACUGGGACUGAGACACGGCCCAGACUCCUACGGGAGGCAGCAGUGGGGAAUUUUCCGCAAUGGGCGCAAGCCUGACGGAGCAAUACCGCGUGGGGGAGGAAGGUCUGUGGAUUGUAAACCCCUUUUCUCAGGGAAGAAGCUCUGACGGUACCUGAGGAAUAAGCAUCGGCUAACUCCGUGCCAGCAGCCGCGGUAAUACGGAGGAUGCAAGCGUUAUCCGGAAUUAUUGGGCGUAAAGCGUCCGCAGGCGGCUAGAUAAGUCUGCUUUCAAAGAGUGGGGCUCAACCCCAUAGGGGGAGUGGAAACUGUUUAGCUAGAGUAUGGUAGGGGCAGAGGGAAUUCCCAGUGUAGCGGUGAAAUGCGUAGAUAUUGGGAAGAACACCAGUGGCGAAGGCGCUCUGCUGGACCGAGACUGACGCUGAGGGACGAAAGCUAGGGGAGCGAAAGGGAUUAGAUACCCCUGUAGUC